AUGAAAUUCUAGGACGCUCUUUUUAGAGGUCCGACAAAAUCAUUCCUUUCUACACUGUGCACACACUACCUUUUUUACACCCAAUUUUUUAACACCUUAGUAUUAAGAAUGUAAAUCAGUCUCUUAAUUGAGCAUCAAACAAAUAAAACUUUCAGCAACGGAUCUCUUGGCUCUCGCAUCGAUGAAGAACGCAGCGAAAUGCGAUACGUAAUGUGAAUUGCAGAAUUCAGUGAAUCAUCGAAUCUUUGAACGCACCUUGCACUCUUUGGUAUUCCGAAGAGUAUGUCUGUUUGAGUGUCAUGAAACUCUCAACCCCACUAUUUUGUAAUGAAAUAGGUCGCGGGCUUGGUUUAUGGUUGUUGCUGGCUUUACCGUCAGCUCGACUGAAAUAUACGAGCUACCCAAUUCAACUUUGAAUUAGACGGUUUGACUCGGCGUAAUAAUCUAUUUCGCUGAGGACGUCUUCAUUAAAUUUAAUGAUAGUGGUGCUUCUAACGCAUUAGCAAUUUAAGCUUUAGACCUCAAAUCAGUCAGGACUACCCGCUGAACUUUAAGCAUAUCAAUAAGCGGAGGA
rnacentral:misc_RNA from 1 species